rnacentral:rRNA from 1 species
ACAACGGAGAGUUUGAUCCUGGCUCAGGAUGAACGCUGGCGGCGUGCUUAACACAUGCAAGUCGAACGAACCUUCGGGUUAGUGGCGGACGGGUGAGUAACGCGUGAGAAUCUGCCCUCAGGAGGGGGAUAACGGCUGGAAACGGCCGCUAAUACCCCAUAUGCCGAGAGGUGAAACGAAUUUCGCCUGAGGAUGAGCUCGCGUCUGAUUAGCUAGUUGGUGUGGUAAAGGCUCACCAAGGCAUCGAUCAGUAGCUGGUCUGAGAGGAUGAUCAGCCACACUGGGACUGAGACACGGCCCAGACUCCUACGGGAGGCAGCAGUGGGGAAUUUUCCGCAAUGGGCGCAAGCCUGACGGAGCAACGCCGCGUGAGGGAUGAAGGCCUCUGGGCUGUAAACCUCUUUUAUCAAGGAAGAAGAUCUGACGGUACUUGAUGAAUAAGCCACGGCUAAUUCCGUGCCAGCAGCCGCGGUAAUACGGGAGUGGCAAGCGUUAUCCGGAAUUAUUGGGCGUAAAGCGUCCGCAGGCGGUCUUGAAAGUCUGUUGUUAAAGCGUGGAGCUCAACUCCAUUUCAGCAAUGGAAACUAGAAGACUAGAGUGUGGUAGGGGCAGAGGGAAUUCCCGGUGUAGCGGUGAAAUGCGUAGAUAUCGGGAAGAACACCAGUGGCGAAGGCGCUCUGCUGGGCCAUAACUGACGCUCAUGGACGAAAGCCAGGGGAGCGAAAGGGAUUAGAUACCCCUGUAGUCCUGGCCGUAAACGAUGAACACUAGGUGUCGGGGGAAUCGACCCCCUCGGUGUCGUAGCCAACGCGUUAAGUGUUCCGCCUGGGGAGUACGCACGCAAGUGUGAAACUCAAAGGAAUUGACGGGGGCCCGCACAAGCGGUGGAGUAUGUGGUUUAAUUCGAUGCAACGCGAAGAACCUUACCAGGGUUUGACAUCCUGCGAAUCCCUUGGAAACUUGGGAGUGCCUUCGGGAGCGCAGUGACAGGUGGUGCAUGGCUGUCGUCAGCUCGUGUCGUGAGAUGUUGGGUUAAGUCCCGCAACGAGCGCAACCCACGUCUUUAGUUGCCAGCAUUAAGUUGGGCACUCUAGAGAGACUGCCGGUGAUAAACCGGAGGAAGGUGUGGAUGACGUCAAGUCAUCAUGCCCCUUACAUCCUGGGCUACACACGUACUACAAUGCUACGGACAAAGGGCAGCAAACUCGCGAGAGCUAGCAAAUCCCAUAAACCGUGGCUCAGUUCAGAUCGUAGGCUGCAACUCGCCUACGUGAAGGAGGAAUCGCUAGUAAUCGCAGGUCAGCAUACUGCGGUGAAUACGUUCCCGGGCCUUGUACACACCGCCCGUCACACCAUGGAAGUUGGCCACGCCCGAAGUCGUUACUCCAACCCGCAAGGGAGGAGGAUGCCGAAGGUGGGGCUGAUGACUGGGGUGAAGUCGUAACAAGGUAGCCGUACCGGAAGGUGCGGCUGGAUCACCUCCUAA